CUCCCUCCCUCCCGUUACUGGAGCUCAUCUAACCCUUGUCCAUUCGAACACUCGACCCCUACCAAAAUCUCUCUCUCUCUCUCAAAUUCUCUGCAUCUGGAUUAUCUGUUCGUUCGUGAAGCUCAGAAAUCAAUGGCUUCUUCUUCCUUGAGACCUUCGUCGACGACAACGACAGCGGCCGUGGCAAACAAUGGCGGAGCUGGAAGUUCCGAGAGGCAACAACUCCAUCCUGCUCGGUAAACAACGUCGUAUGUUCCAUCCAAGCUGGCGUCUUCCUCGAAUUCAUGGUUGAAAGAGGAGGCGGCGCCGAUGUUGAGCGUGGAGGCUUCUGCCACAGGUUCGGAGGUGACUGUGGUCGCGGCGGUAGGCGCCGCGGUGCUGGGCCUGAGAGAAUCAUGAAGAUCAUGCCGGUUCAGAAGCAAACCGUUUUGGUUAGAGGGCUUCUUCUGUUCCUCUAUCUCGGCCAUGUUCCCCAACCCCGGUUGGCCGUCCCACAAGGUCUUCAACAAGACGUCGUGGACCGACUUCGAUUACUGCAAAAUCCCGCCAGGUCACUACUCUCCUUCAUCACCAAUCAAUCAAUCUAUCCAAUUCAGUUUGCUUCUAAUUCUGAAUACUAGCCCUUCUUUUUCACUUCUUGGCUGCAUUCUGAACAUGCAUGUUGUUUAUUUGAUUAUUAUGUCUCUCUGUAAAGUUUGGCUUUUUCUAUAGAGAUAAUCAUAAAUUACUGCCCAGCUUUAAUUAUGAGGCUCAUGACUUUAUCAUCUAAAGCUUAUGAAGCUAUACCCUAUGCUUUGUAUAGAAGAUCGAGGCUAGGCUUUCUGGCUUUCUAUUUUUGGUGAAGCUUGUGACCCAAAAUAGGCCUUGCUUUAUAUGGCAACGACAGCAUGGAUUUCUUACAUUGCAUAAUGAUAUUAGUUUAGUGCUUUUAGAUUUGGUCUAUUUUUCCCAAAUGCUUUUAGUAGGUACUAUCUAUAGCUGCUAGCACUCGAUGAAGUUGUAGAAAUGAAGUAAUUAUUCAAACUGGGAGCAUAUAACUUGUAUUCAAAUAUCUCAUAGCUACUGAUUUUGGCAUUUGAUAAUUCCAGGAAUUGUAAUUUCUGUUUUGUAGUUGUGUUGGUAAAUUUCUAUUGGUUCUUUGAUGAUAACUUGAAUAUAUAUCUGAGUGAGGCGGCUAUCAAGGAGGAAAGACAUGAGGCACGGUGCGCUAAAAAGGAAUUGAAGGAACUUUACUGGGGUGAAGCGCAGCAUGCUUAGAGAGUAGAUUCUUAAUUAAUGAGUUUUUGUCAAGUGGUUUUGUUGUGAUGCUUUUUCAUUAUGAUGGUAACGUUGAUGAGUGGAAGCAAUUUUAAUGGAAUGAUCUUGUCAUUUAUGUGUCUGCAGUCAAUCAAACAAAAUGGUGGUUCACAAAGCGUUUCUUACAUCCUGAUAUAGUUGAUCAAUAUAGUCGCAUUCUUCUACAGGAUGAGGACCUUGGAGUUGACAAUUUCAAUCCUCAACGGUAUGUGUCCAUUGUUCGAAAGGAAGGGCUUGAAAUAUCACAACCGGCACUUGAUUUUUCCAAGACAGAGGUGAACUACAUGGAGAAACUUUUAAAAGAGGAGGGGAUUCAGAAGAAACUCAGCAAGGAUAUUUUGCAAUAUAAAGCUCAUAUAAUCAAGAUAUUUGCGGAACAUAGGUACAAUUGGAUCUCUGCAAAUUUAGAGUUUUAGAAAUUUGCCUAAGGCUUAAUUAGGAUGCAAGUCACUGGUGAAUUGUAAACUCCAGUUUAUUAAAUAAAUUAGCUUUUUGUAUAUUUUUAUGAUGUCACUGUUAUGUUUAGUUUUCCUUAAUAAAACAUUACUUUUAUAGAU